CCUACGGGAGGCUGCAGUGGGGGAUAUUGCACAAUGGGGGGAACCCUGAUGCAGCGACGCCGCGUGGGUGAAGAAGCGCCUCGGCGCGUAAAGCCCUGUCAGCAGGGAAGAACGGUCACUGUGCUAAUCAGCAGUGAAUUGACGGUACCUGCAAAGGAAGCACCGGCUAACUCCGUGCCAGCAGCCGCGGUAAUACGGAGGGUGCGAGCGUUAAUCGGAAUUACUGGGCGUAAAGCGAUCGUAGGCGGUAUGUCAAGUCAAGGGUGAAAUCCCCGGGCUCAACGUUGGCACUGCCUUUGAAACUGGCAAACUGGAGUGUGUGAGAGGAUAGUGGAAUGCCAGGUGUAGGAGUGAAAUGCGUAGAUAUCUGGAGGAACAUCAGUGGCGAAGGCGACUAUCUGGCACAUAACUGACGCUGAGGAGCGAAAGCGUGGGUAGCAAACAGGAUUAGAUACCCCGGUAGUC
rnacentral:rRNA from 1 species